GACGAACGCUGGCGGCGUGCUUAACACAUGCAAGUCGAACGGAAAGGCCCUGCUUUUGUGGGGUGCUCGAGUGGCGAACGGGUGAGUAACACGUGAGUAACCUGCCCUUGACUUUGGGAUAACUUCAGGAAACUGGGGCUAAUACCGGAUAGGAGCUCCUGCUGCAUGGUGGGGGUUGGAAAGUUUCGGCGGUUGGGGUUGGACUCGCGGCUUAUCAGCUUGUUGGUGGGGUAGUGGCUUACCAAGGCUUUGACGGGUAGCCGGCCUGAGAGGGUGACCGGCCACAUUGGGACUGAGACACGGCCCAGACUCCUACGGGAGGCAGCAGUGGGGGAUAGUGCACAAUGGGCGGAAGCCUGAUGCAGCAACGCCGCGUGCGGGAUGACGGCCUUCGGGUUGUAAACCGCUUUCGCCUGUGACGAAGCGUGAGUGACGGUAAUGGGUAAAGAAGCACCGGCUAACUACGUG
rnacentral:rRNA from 1 species